CCCAACGCCAGUCUAUACUAAGCCACCAACGCCAGUUUAUACUAAGCCCCCAACACCGGUCUAUUCUAAGCCACCAACGCCAGUUUAUACUCAUCCACCUACGCCAGUUUAUACUAAGCCACCAACGCCAGUUUAUACACCAAAACCAGUUUACAAGCAUCCACCAAAGCCAGUAUACUCACAUCCCCCGACUCCAGUCUAUACACAUCCACCAAAGCCCGUUUAUACUCAUCCCCCAACUCCAGUUUAUACACAUCCACCAAAGCCGGUUUACACUCAUCCCCCAACUCCAGUUUAUACACAUCCACCAAAGCCAGUUUAUAGUCACCCCCCAACUCCAGUAUACACACAUCCACCCAAGCCGGUUUAUACUCAUCCCCCAACUCCCAAAUACUCCAAGCCACCAACGCCAGUUUAUACCAAGCCACCAACGCCAGUUUAUACACAUCCACCUACGCCAGUAUAUACUAAGCCACCAACGCCAGUUUAUACACAUCCUCCAACGCCAGUUUAUACACAUCCUCCAACUCCGGUUUAUUCACAUCCGCCUAUCUAUAAGAAGCCUUGCCCGCCCAUUGUUCCUCUGCCUAAGCUUCCUCCAAAAUAUUUCCACCACCCAAAAGUACCCAAGAUUCCUAAAAAAUUCUUCCCCCACCCAAAAGUACCCAAGAUUCCUAAAAAAUUCUACCCCCACCCUAAAUUGACCUUCCCACCG
rnacentral:lncRNA from 1 species